AUGAUCUUCCCAACCUGGUUCUUCUACCUCCUGGUGCUCUGGGUCCAGGGGUCCUGGGCAGCCAUUUUGCUGACCCAUUCUCCAUCUUCUCUGACUGUUGCUCCUGGAGAAAGAGUCCCCAUCAGCUGCAGAACCAGUCAGAGUAUUUACAAUGGGUUAGCUUGGUACCAGCAGCUGCCAGAACAUUCCCCCAAGCUCCUGAUCUAUGAUGCUUCCACCCUGCACUCUGGGGUCCCUGCCCACUUCAGUGGCAGUGGGUCUGGGACAGAUUUUACUCUCACAAUCAGCAGUGUGGAGGCUGAAGAUGUUGGACAUUAUUACUGUCAGCAUUAUUUUGGCAGCGCUAACCCACAGUGGUGCCCUCCUGAAUAA